CCACGUGGGCAGCUCAGGCAGCCCCAGAGGCUGAUCUGGGAGCUGAGCUGUUGUGAGGUCCUCCAGGGCUGUCCCAAAGUCUUCCUGCUGCUUUCAAGUGGCCCUGAGGCCGCCCCGGAAUCUGGGCCCUUCCUUACCAGCCUCCGGGAGCUCUGUGGCCGCUGUCCUCACUGGUCACUGCUGCAGCUGUUGACAGAGCUGUUCUGCAGGGUGACUGAUGAGUCUGGGGGGAAUGUG